CCACCUGGAGCCACACCUGGGACCCCAAAACAUCCCUGGGAACACGGGAACAGCGCCCAGCUGGGACCCCAAAACAGCCUCAGGGACACGGGAACAGCGCCCAGCUGGGACCCCAAAACAUCCUCGGGAACACGGGAACAGUGCCCAGCUGGGACCCCAAAACAUCCUCGGGGACAGCGCCCAGCUGGGACCCCAAAACAUCCCUGGGAACACGGGAACAGCACCCAGCUGGGACUCCAAAACAUCCCCGAGAACAGCACCCAGCUGGCACCCCAAAACAUCCUCAGGGACAGGAGAACAGCGCCCAGCUGGGACCCCAGAACAUCCCCAGGGACACAGGAACAGCACCCAGCUGGAGCCACACCUGGGAUCCCAUCCCAGCAUCCAUGGGGACAUUGGAGCAAGGCUGACCUUUAGCUGAACUAAAGGAAUCUCUUCUCCCCGCUCGUGGGAUUCAUCUGUGCAGUCACACUGACCACAUCCGCCUGGGAAGUCGGAUAUCCUGGCACAGCCACUGCUGUGCAGAUGCUGCCGAGCAAAGUUGUGACGGAGCUCGAGCACAGAGAGCAGCAAAUCCGAGUGGGACGAAACCUGAGCGAAUGAGAAUCCUGCUCCCCGCUGGAAGAGAGAUCACCUUAUAUGGGAACACCAGGGACAAGAGCAUGAACGUGUCCGGCCGGGCUGCUGAGACUCUGAGCCUGGGAUUUGCAGGUCAAACCUUGAGAGCUCUGCACGUUUCCAGCCCCACCUCCUGUGUGGACAGUGUCAGUGGUGGCCUCACACCUGACCAGAUGUGCACAGCUGGCUCAGAACACACUGAGCAGCUGCAGCUUUGUGACUGUGCAGCAGGAGAGGCACAGCCAGGUCAGUUGUCUAGCCACUUCUCACAGACUCUGACGGGAGAGGAUGAUGUUAACAGCUCAGUAAGUACCAGUGUGAAGGAAGUGGCUCACAAAAGCAGCAGGAUCUGGGUUACAGCAGAAUAUACAGUACCAAUGCAGGCAAGUCUUCAGUUAAUGUCAGUUCAAUAUUCAGAAUUCAGAUUUCUGCUCACUUUUACAUUCUUGUUUAAUUGGCUCAUGUUGUUGAAUUAAACUUCCAGCUGAAACACUUGAUUUCUCAAUCUAUCACCAGACCCAGAUAUGAAACUUCAUAUAAAAUUGUGAAGGAAAUUACUUCACCCUCAGCCCAAACAAUGCCAAGCACUGUUGACCCAAGCAAAGGGCUAAAUAAGGAUUGAUGAGGUGUGGCAGGACCAUGGUUUGGGUAGUUCCUUCUGCAGCUUCCUCCUAUAGAAAGCUGCAACAAUCUGAAAUGUCAAGUUCUCUAUCUUACGUUUGAGGAGGACAAGUUGAAGCUAUCUUUAAGUGGCAAAAAACCCUUGAGUAAGAGCUUGUUUCUUUACAAGAAUUCAAACAGGACGAUGUGUGAGUUACAAUUCAACUGUGACAAACCUGUGAGGUCAGGGGUUCCCUGUGGAACCCAUGGAAAACCUCCCUAAGUGAGUGAAAGACAGAUCUACUUUUGUGUGUGUGUUGAAAGAAAGAUACAUUGACAACGUCAUGACAUUUUCAGGUAGUCCCUCUGCCUAGGCACUUCUGGACCUCAUGUAUGUAAACCAGCUCC